rnacentral:rRNA from 1 species
CCUACGGGCGGCAGCAGUGGGGAAUUUUGUGCAAUGGGGGCAACCCUGACGCAGCAACGCCGCGUGAGUGAUGAAGGCCUUCGGGUCGUAAAGCUCUGUCAGAGGGGAAGAAAUGCAGGUGGUGAACAACCAUUCUGUUUGACGGUACCCUCAAAGGAAGCACCGGCUAACUCCGUGCCAGCAGCCGCGGUAAUACGGAGGGUGCGAGCGUUGUUCGGGAUUAUUGGGCGUAAAGCGCGUGUAGGCGGUUUGUUAAGUCGGAGGUGAAAGCCCCGGGCUCAACCGGGGAAGUGCAUUGGAUACUGGCAGACUUGAGUACGGAAGAGGAGAGUGGAAUUCCCGGUGUAGGAGUGAAAUCCGUAGAUAUUGGGAGGAACACCGGUGGCGAGGGCGGCUCUCUGGACCGAAACUGACGCUGAGACGCGAAAGCGUGGGGAGCAAACAGGAUUAGAUACCCCUGUAGU